GAAGGGCCCUACAUGGUGGCAGACACCUACGGGCCAAGGGCUUACCGACUGAAAACUCUGGAAGAGAAACCCAUUCCCCGGACCUGGAAUGCUGACAACCUGAAGUUGUAUCACCAAUGAACUUUGUACCUAUUCAUUUGGAAUACAAAUCUAGUUUCAAAUUUCGGAGUCUUAACUCUUCAACUGAUGAUCGGCGCUCGUCAAGAAGGAUGAGUCCCGACAUCCCGACUCAGACUUAAUGUCUACAUGGAGCCGACGGCCCGAUCGCCGACGAUGUAUCGGACGCUCAUAAGGGCCGAACCGUCCAUGACAACGGGAGUUAACACUCCUUCUACGGUCAAAGUUUCGGGCCAAACGAUCGGCUAAUUCACCAACUG
rnacentral:lncRNA from 1 species